UCGAAUCUUUGUUAAUCUUGUUCUUUUGAAUGUCAAUGCAACAUAUCAUGUGAAAGAACAUUUAGUUACAUAAUAUGCAAAUAAAACCUAGCACGAAACCAUUAUGAUAGCCAUUUCACUAGUAAAAGUAUGAAUGAACGGAACCGACAUAAUCAUCUUCAAAGUUGCAUCUAAAAUGCUCCGAAUCUUCAAAAUUGCUUCUCGUUGUGAUGAUGCGAACAUUGAUGGCUGCCCCUUUUCCGUGAGUGAAUCUGGUAUCUGGGGAUGGAAUUUAGUCCAUAACCACAAGUCGCCAAAAACCAAGCAACGGGCUGAGAAUCAAUUUUGCUCGUACAAAGCAUAGCGUGCACAUCACAAUAUCAAGUAUUUGACUCAGUGUGGUUUCAAGAAGAAGAUCAAUAGAAGUUUGUAUAACCAGAAUAGAG
rnacentral:lncRNA from 1 species